AUGCUUGCUGAGGCAGCACAUAUACUAAAAUUGGAAUGAUACAGAGAAGAUUAGCAUGGCUCCCCCUCUGCAAGGAUGACACGCAAAUUUGUGAAGUUUUCCAUAUUUUA